AGCAGCCGCCGCGGGAAUACCGAGGGUGCGAGCGUUGUUCGGAAUUACUGGGCGUAAAGCGCACGUAGGCGGAUAUUUAAGUCAGGGGUGAAAUCCCGCAGCUCAACUGCGGAACUGCCUUUGAUACUCGGUAUCUUGAGUAUGGAAGAGGUUAGUGGAAUUGCGAGUGUAGAGGUGAAAUUCGUGGAUAUUCUCAGGAACACCAGUGGCGAAGGCGGCCAUCUGGGACAACACUGACGCUGAGGCACGAAAGCGUGGGGAGCAAACAGGAUUAGAUACCCGUGUAGUCCCUGUCUCUUAUAC
rnacentral:rRNA from 1 species